ACUCAAAGGAAUUGACGGGGGCCCGCACAAGCAGUGGAGCGUGUGGUUUAAUUCGAGGCAACGCGCAGAACCUUACCAGGGUUUGACAUCAUACUGACGUCUGUAGAAACACAGAUUUCCGUUUAGGCGGACGGUAUGACAGGUGUUGCAUGGUUGUCGUCAGCUCGUGUCGUGAGAUGUUGGGUUAAGUCCCGCAACGAGCGCAACCCCUAUCCAAUGUUGCCAACAGGUAAAGCUGGGGACUCAUUGGAGACUGCCGGAGACGAUCUGGAGGAAGGUGGGGAUGAGGUCAAAUCAUCAUGGCCCUUAAGCCCUGGGCUACACACGCGCUACAAUGGCCGGUACAACGGGCAGCGAAGGAGCGAUCUGGAGCGAAUCCCAAAAAGCCGGCCCCAGUUGGAAUCGCAGGCUGCAACCCGCCUGCGUGAACAUGGAAUUGCUAGUAAUCGCGAAUCAGCUACGUCGCGGUGAAUACGUUCCCGGGCCUUGUACACACCGCCCGU
rnacentral:rRNA from 1 species